GCUGGUUUUCUGCACCUUUGUCGUCGCGCCGCGCGUGCUCACGCAGCGGCCGCCGCCAGACCCGGACGCGGAUAUUCACGGACUCUUCCCCGGGUCCAACGCCACCAGUCCCUCCCUGAUGUUGCAAGAAAUGCAGGUCCACGCCAACUGGGCCCUCUACUCAGGGUACGACCGCUGGCUCGGCAACUACGA
rnacentral:ribozyme from 1 species